UGAGGCUGAGCUCACAACAGGCAAACACAUUACUUUGUAAAUGAAGGAUUAAGUUAGAAAACCUUGCUAAUAACCUGCUUCAGAAACUCCAUAAUCACGGUGGUGUGAUGGCUAGGAUCUAAUCAUAAACAUUAAGAGAGGUGGUAGAAGAAAUGCCCAGAAGUUUGCACUCUUGCUGGAGUCACCUGAUGCUGGUCGUGGGGACACAUCCUCUUCAUGGAGCAAAUGAUGCCUGACCCAGAGUGCCAAGAAAGACAACAAAAAUAUUUAGAUCUCAUACAACAUGUGUGGGGAGUUGGGGAAGAAUGCCCUCCUGACCACAGAUUUGGCAAUCUGUUCACUUUGUAUAUAUGAUUGCAGUGACCAACAUGUGAUUUGGAGCAAGGAUCACUGGGGUCAGCCUGCAGAGGCAAGUGGCAGAAUGCCUGAGAGCAGUUCAGCCCAGGAGAGUUUGUGUGUGGUGGCUCAGAGGGCACCACGAGAAAACAGAACUGAGAGUCCUGGGUCUGUCUCAGCCCUGUCAUGCUGACAGUGUCCUGCUGGGGGUGAGCACCCCAGAGAAGAGCUGAAACUGGUCACCCUUCCCUUCCCUUCCCUUCCCUUC